rnacentral:rRNA from 1 species
UGACGAGUGGCGGACGGGUGAGUAAUGUCUGGGGAUCUGCCUGAUGGAGGGGAUAACUACUGGAAACGGUAGCUAAUACCGCAUAACGUCGCAAGACCAAAGUGGGGGACCUUCGGGCCUCAUGCCAUCAGAUGUGCCCCAGAUGGGAUUAGCUAGUAGGUGGGGUAAUGGCUCACCUAGGCGACGAUCCCUAGCUGGUCUGAGAGGAUGACCAGCCACACUGGAACUGAGACACGGCCCAG